rnacentral:rRNA from 1 species
UACGGGGGGGGCAAGCGUUGUUCGGAAUUACUGGGCGUAAAGGGCUCGUAGGCGGCCAACUAAGUCGGACGUGAAAUCCCCAGGCUCAACCUGGGAACUGCGUCCGAUACUGGAUGGCUUGAAUUCGGGAGAGGGAUGCAGAAUUCCAGGUGUAGCGGUGAAAUGCGUAGAUACUCGUGAGGAACACCAGAGGCGAAGGCGGCUACCUGGACAAUUGCUGACGCUCAGUGACGCACGGAAAGCAUGGGGAGUCA